rnacentral:rRNA from 1 species
AUGGGAACGCGAAGAACCUUACCUAGACUUGACAUCUUCUGCAUUAAUCGUAAUGGAUGAAAUCCCUUCGGGGACAGAAUGACAGGUGGUGCAUGGUUGUCGUCAGCUCGUGUCGUGAGAUGUUGGGUUAAGUCCCGCAACGAGCGCAACCCCUAUUAUUAGUUGCUAACAUUAAGUUGAGCACUCUAGUGAGACUGCCCGGGUUAACCGGGAGGAAGGUGGGGAUGACGUCAAAUCAUCAUGCCCCUUAUGUCUAGGGCUACACACGUGCUACAAUGGUGGGAACAAAGAGAUGCAAUACCGCAAGGUGGAGCUAAACUCAAAACCCCAUCCCAGUUCGGAUUGUAGGCUGAAACUCGCCUACAUGAAGCUGGAGUUGCUAGUAAUCGCGAAUCAGAAUGUCGCGGUGAAUACGUUCCCGGGUC